rnacentral:rRNA from 1 species
CAGCCGCCGCGGGAAUACGGAGGGGGCUAGCGUUAUUCGGAAUUACUGGGCGUAAAGCGCACGUAGGCGGCUUCGCAAGUCAGAGGUGAAAGCCUGGGGCUCAACUCCAGAAUUGCCUUUGAGACUGCGUCGCUCGAAUCCGGGAGAGGUGAGUGGAAUUCCGAGUGUAGAGGUGAAAUUCGUAGAUAUUCGGAAGAACACCAGUGGCGAAGGCGGCUCACUGGACCGGUAUUGACGCUGAGGUGCGAAAGCGUGGGGAGCAAACAGGAUUAGAUACCCCGGUAGUCCCUGUCUCUUAUAA